rnacentral:rRNA from 1 species
GUCUAUAGCCAUGCCACCCUGAACAAGCCUGAUGUCUGAUCUCAGAAGCUAAGCAGGGUCGGGCCUGGUUAGUACUUGAAUGGGACACCACCUAGGGAGACCAGGUGCUGUAGACA